rnacentral:rRNA from 1 species
AUGAGCUCAAAUUGAAAUCUGGCUGGUUUACUAGUCCGAGUUGUAAUUUAAAGAAGCGUUUUCGGUGGCAGCCUGGGUAUAAUCCUUUGGAAUAGGGUAUCAUAGAGGGUGAGAAUCCCGUCUUUGACCUAGUGCAUGCUACUAUGUGAUACGUUUUCAAAGAGUCGAGUUGUUUGGGAAUGCAGCUCAAAAUGGGUGGUAAAUUUCAUCUAAAGCUAAAUAUUGGCGAGAGACCGAUAGCGAACAAGUACCGUGAGGGAAAGAUGAAAAGAACUUUGAAAAGAGAGUUAAACAGUGCGUGAAAUUGUUGAAAGGGAAACGUUUGACACCAGUCAUGUGGGUGGAAAAUCAGUCUUUUGCAUUGGGGAGUUGUAAGGGUUCGGACCGCAAGGCCGGCUUUUGCUUCAUCUUUGGUGUAAGUGAUGCACUUUUUCAUCUACAGGUCAACAUCAGUUUCUUUUGCUGGACAAAACUCCGAGAGAAGGUAGCAGCUUAGGCUGUGUUAUAGCUCUGGAGCGAUACGGUGAAGGGGACUGAGGUUUUCGCAGCGUGUGCUCUCGGGCAAGGCUGGAUGGGUGCUAUGGGAUCGUUCGGGGUACAAUGCCUGGCAUUUUGCUUCGUGUCUUUUCUAUACUCGCUCAACUCAGCUCUUCCACGCUUAGGAUGUUGACUUAAUGGUUUUAAACGACCCGUCUUGAAACACGGACCAAGGAGUCUAACAUAUAUGCAAGUGUUUGGGUGGCAAACCCAUGCGCGUAAUGAAAGUGAACGUAGGUGAGAUCCGCAAGGUGCAGCAUCGACCGAUCUUGAUAUUUUUGGAUAGAUUUGAGUAAGAGCAUAUAUGCUGGGACCCGAAA